rnacentral:rRNA from 1 species
UACGGGGGGGGGCAAGCGUUGUUCGGAAUUACUGGGCGUAAAGGGCGCGUAGGCGGCCUGCUAAGUCGAACGUGAAAUCCCUGGGCUCAACCCAGGAACUGCGUCCGAUACUGGUUGGCUUGAAUCCGGGAGAGGGAUGCGGAAUUCCAGGUGUAGCGGUGAAAUGCGUAGAUAUCUGGAGGAACACCGGUGGCGAAGGCGGCAUCCUGGACCAAUAUUGACGCUGAGGAGCGAAAGCCAGGGGAGCAAACGGG